rnacentral:rRNA from 1 species
GCUCAGAUUGAACGCUGGCGGCAGGCUUAACACAUGCAAGUCGAGCGGAGAUGAGGUGCUUGCACCUUAUCUUAGCGGCGGACGGGUGAGUAAUGCUUAGGAAUCUGCCAUUUAGUGGGGGACAACAUUCCGAAAGGAAUGCUAAUACCGCAUACGUCCUACGGGAGAAAGCAGGGGAUCUUCGGACCUUGCGCUAAAUGAUGAGCCUAAGUCGGAUUAGCUAGUUGGUGGGGUAAAGGCCUACCAAGGCGACGAUCUGUAGCGGGUCUGAGAGGAUGAUCCGCCACACUGGGACUGAGACACGGCCCAGACUCCUACGGGAGGCAGCAGUGGGGAAUAUUGGACAAUGGGCGGAAGCCUGAUCCAGCCAUGCCGCGUGUGUGAAGAAGGCCUUUUGGUUGUAAAGCACUUUAAGCGAGGAGGAGGCUACUAGUACUAAUACUACUGGAUAGUGGACGUUACUCGCAGAAUAAGCACCGGCUAACUCUGUGCCAGCAGCCGCGGUAAUACAGAGGGUGCGAGCGUUAAUCGGAUUUACUGGGCGUAAAGCGUGCGUAGGCGGCUUUUUAAGUCGGAUGUGAAAUCCCCGAGCUUAACUUGGGAAUUGCAUUCGAUACUGGGAAGCUAGAGUAUGGGAGAGGAUGGUAGAAUUCCAGGUGUAGCGGUGAAAUGCGUAGAGAUCUGGAGGAAUACCGAUGGCGAAGGCAGCCAUCUGGCCUAAUACUGACGCUGAGGUACGAAAGCAUGGGGAGCAAACAGGAUUAGAUACCCUGGUAGUCCAUGCCGUAAACGAUGUCUACUAGCCGUUGGGGCCUUUGAGGCUUUAGUGGCGCAGCUAACGCGAUAAGUAGACCGC